AGAAGGGGUGUCACCAGUGGUGCAGUAGAUAAGCCAGCGGGCAACAUCGCAGAGGUACAGAAACACAUACGCCUCUUCCUCAUACAUCACCAGGUAUCCCUGCACCUUUGGACUCCACACCCAUUUCCUCUCACCCCUCCCCACCUCUCUCCACUCGCCCAUCCAACCAUCUCUGCCGCAGUGCACAUCAUGUCGUGUGAGCCCAAUAGCCCGGUGGUAGACACCACAACCGCCGCUGCAGCGCCGAAGCUGAUGACGCUCAAGGAAGCAAUCGACCGGGAUGGGGUGCCGGCCACGUCCAGCUCGAAGCAACGUCGGCUGAUGGACAUUCAUGUCACGGCGUACCCGGGUUUAGUUAAUCAGCACAUGCUUCCAAAGCACAAUACAGCUGUCAAUGAUUUCUCCUCGAUUGAUCCACUGCAGUACCGCAAGGCGCACACAGUGCGCAACAACAACACCGCCAGCUACAGCGAGAAGGAGGAAAACGUGCUAGAUAUGCUCACCACAAACCAAUGCGCCAAUCGCAUGACCCGCCUCGGCAUGCAGCUGAGGGAGGAACGGGCGAAGAACCCUAAAGGCAUGCCGUCGAUCAGCAGUCUUGCGCCGCGUGGCUACCGCAGCCGCUUUCUCUCCCCAAGCUUCGACGAGCGGUCCACCUAUCGGUGGGACUACUGCCAGUGGGAGCCGGACGGCUUUCACGACACGGUGCGCCGCGAGCUCCUCGCCGCAUACCGCGACGACUGGACAGAAGACGAAAAGGCGGAUGUGGACAUCUCCAUGAAGAUUCCAUACUUAACGAUGGCGGUGUCUUCGGACCGACUCAAGGACAAGGCUACGAUCUACCGCAAGGACUUCAUGGAAGACGCAACUCAAGCUGACUACCGAUCGCUGUCUUACAAGACCAACCUCGAAGACCUCGGCAUCUCGUACGCCUACUCCGCCUACUCCAUCGAUGACCCACGACGCAAGGUGCUCUUCGAUGCGUCCGUCGCCGCCCUCAAGACACCGCACAGUGUGUUGGAGAAGACGUACAGUCCGCGCAACUCCUUCCUUGAGAAGAGCUUGUCGACCAAGCAGCAGCCCUCAGCACGUGAGGAACUGGACCGCCUGCGUACGAUGCGGCGGGAGGCGCUGCGCCUAUCCGCGGCGAAGCGCAGCGCCGCUGAGUCUAACGAUGACGGCAAGACGACGAAAACGGUGGUGAUUCCCGGCAUCAAGGGUUCUGGCUACCGUCGCGCGCCAAAGGGCAACGACUCGUACGUGUGUCUUUCGCGUGAUCACUUCUGCUACCAACAGGUGGACAACUUCUAAGCCGUCAUCAUCGCGUACCUUACAGCCUGCGCCGACUGUGCGUGUGUGUGUAGGGGUCGUCUCUUUCUUCUUUGUUGUUUUCCGAUGUACAAGACCUUUGUUUCUUACUGUGUGUGCGUGUCUGUGCUAUGCUCACAUCAACGCAGAUACGCACGCACAGUAGAGCGAGAGAUACGAGGAGUGAGAAAGAGCUAAUCAGAAAAGAUGCAUUGCUCUCCCUUACUCGGUGUUGAAGCCAAGGAGUGAUCUGCGCGCCAUCUCUCCCCACCGCCCCCUGAACUCCCUCCUCGAUCCGUGUGCACCCUAUUAAACUGUUUACGUGCUUCUCUCUCCUUCUUACUACAAUGCACUCGAGGGCGCACAGAUGGGGAGAUCUCGGCAGCAGCCGACGGACACACACUAUAAACGCAUAUGUGGCUGAUCUGUGUGUGUGUGUGUGUGUGUGUGUGUGUGUGUCGCUCCUCUUUUGUUAGAGCCGCCUUCACAUCACUCAGCAUCCAUGCAGUCCUUUCGUGGUUCUCCUAUCGACCUCUUACUCUCAUUGACCUCGUCCGUGUCCCCCAUCCCUUGCCUCUCUCUGCAACUGAAGCGGAAAAGAAGCAGUGGGUAC
rnacentral:misc_RNA from 1 species